GGGAAGGUGGCCGAGUUGGCCGAAGGCGCGUCCCUGCUAAGGACGUAUAGGAGUUUUCCUAUCGCGAGUUCGAAUCUCGCCCUUCCCG
rnacentral:tRNA from 3 species